AAUAAACGCAGGUAACACUCCAACAGUAAGGAUGGUAAUUUUAUUAACGGGUAAACCACCCCACAGAAAGUGCUAGAUGUGACAUUUCAGCUCAACAUUAUUAAAGCUCUACUGAGCCGAAACGUCGCACCUAGCACUUUCUGGCCCAUAUAGUCUGCCCAAUAUUCUAACCUGUUCUAGGAAGCCAGUGAGCGGAGCCUGGAGAACUGAGGAUAAAAAGUCAAACUAUUAGUGAUCAGUUUAGCUACUUACACAGUGGCAGAUCAGAGGGGAGCACCUGGUCAAAAUCCCCCAGAAACCAUGGGAACAACGUAUGUCUGUCUGGC